rfam:Citrus clementina cultivar Clemenules unplaced genomic scaffold scaffold_5, whole genome shotgun sequence.
GGGUCCGUGGCGCAAUGGAAGAGCGUCUGACUCCAGAACAGAAGGUUGCGGGUUCGAUUCUCGUCGGGUUCA